ACCCUUAAAACUGCAGCCUCACACUCCUCCAUAAAACCUCACUUUCCUUGGCCAUCUUAUAACCAACAUUGGUAGUUGCUCCUCACAUUUUAUGAAUGUAUUUAAAAAUAUUGCUGCUUGAUUUUGUUCAUGUUUGUUUUUUUAUUUGUUUUUAUGAGUUUCUUGUAUAUAUAAUUGAGUUUCCUUGGUUUACAUAUUGAGGGGAGAUAGUGGAAUGGUUGAGACUUCGGUCUCCCAACCACCAUGUCCCGUGUUCAAUUCCAUGUACCCUUUUUUCUAUUAUUUCAUGAUUCCGUUUGCUUUUUCACUUUUCUGUAUUGCCUUCUUAUAUAUGUUUAUCAUGGCAAU
rnacentral:lncRNA from 1 species